rnacentral:rRNA from 1 species
UACGGGGGGGGCAAGCGUUGUUCGGAAUUACUGGGCGUAAAGGGCUGGUAGGCGGCCAACUAAGUCGGAUGUGAAAUCCCCAGGCUUAACCAGGGAACUGCGUCUGAUACUGGAUGGCUUGAGUUUGGGAGAGGGAUGCGGAAUUCCAGGUGUAGCGGUGAAAUGCGUAGAUAUCUGGAGGAACACCGGUGGCGAAGGCGACAUCCUGGACCAACACUGACGCUGAGUGAGCGAAAGCCAGGGGAGCAAACGGG